rnacentral:rRNA from 1 species
UACGAAGGGGGCUAGCGUUGCUCGGAAUUACUGGGCGUAAAGCGCACGUAGGCGGUCUUUUAAGUCGGGGGUGAAAUCCUGGAGCUCAACUCCAGAACUGCCUUCGAUACUGGAAGACUCGAGUCCGGGAGAGGUGAGUGGAACUGCGAGUGUAGAGGUGAAAUUCGUAGAUAUUCGCAAGAACACCAGUGGCGAAGGCGGCUCACUGGCCCGAUACUGACGCUGAGGUGCGAAAGCGUGGGGAGCAAACAGG